rnacentral:rRNA from 1 species
GAUGAACGCUGGCGGCGUGCCUAAUACAUGCAAGUCGAGCGAACGGACGAGAAGCUUGCUUCUCUGAUGUUAGCGGCGGACGGGUGAGUAACACGUGGAUAACCUACCUAUAAGACUGGGAUAACUUCGGGAAACCGGAGCUAAUACCGGAUGAUAUUUUGAACCGCAUGGUCCAAAAGUGAAAGACGGUCUUGCUGUCACUUAUAGAUGGAUCCGCGCUGCAUUAGCUAGUUGGUAAGGUAACGGCUUACCAAGGCAACGAUGCAUAGCCGACCUGAGAGGGCGAUCGGCCACACUGGAACUGAGACACGGUCCAGACUCCUACGGGAGGCAGCAGUAGGGAAUCUUCCGCAAUGGGUGAAAGCCUGACGGAGCAACGCCGCGUGAGUGAUGAAGGUCUUCGGAUCGUAAAACUCUGUUAUUAGGGAAGAACAUAUGUGUAAGUAACUGUGCACAUCUUGACGGUACCUAAUCAGAAAGCCACGGCUAACUACGUG